AGUGUUUGCCUUUGGAGUGCAAGUGGUGAAGUUGAAAUAGUUAUCAGUAUCUUUUCUUUUUUUCUCUUUUGGAAUCCGUGUUUCUUCCGAAUCUCGAGGACGAGUUUCAUUUUAAGGGUGUAGAAUUGUAACACCCUAAAAUUUACGCCUUUUCAAAUAUAGAUAAAAUUAUUUAAUUUUAUAUUUUUGUGCUCAGAAAAUAUAGGAAAAAUAAUAUAUUUUUUAAAAUUAAAAUUUAUCAUAAGGCCUAGCAAUAUUAUUAUGCAUACAUGGUGGUGCAUAUGUUUUGAUGUGAUGCUUGUUGCUCCUUUAUGUGUU
rnacentral:lncRNA from 1 species